UAUCAGUAUCAUGGUAUUCGUUUCACGAAUAUAUUGUUAAACAAGUUAUAGUAAUUUCUUGGAUAGAAUUAUAAAUUUCCUUUUUAUAAGGUUAUAUAGAAAUUAAUGAAUUUUUGUAAUAUCAAAGUUACAAUUAAACGAGAAGAUUAUUUCUAAAUAGUUUAAUCAAAAUAUAAUAUAUAAGUAAAGGCCAAACAUGUAUAACGUAAUGAAUUAAUUUAGGAGCGUACAACGAUUAAAAUCUUUUCCCAUGUUAUUCCAAGAUAAUAUAUAUAUAUAUAUACAGUAAAAUGCGUGCGUAUCUAUUAUAACGAAGUUAUUUACUUUUCAAUUUAGAUAAACGACAGUUGUAUAAAGUUAGUUUCAUAAAGUUGAAGUAGAUAUCACGUGCCUUUUUGAUAAUGAUAACUAUGUCCAAUCAGUAAUGCAUGAAAAUUGAAAACACUAAAAAUAAUAUCAUAAGAAGUAACUAAGAAUGUAAUUUCAAAAAGCAACGACAACUGAAAAAAAAAAGAAAUGAAAAAAAAAGAAAUAUAUCUAAGGAAUGAGAACUUUGCAAAGUUAACUUCCUCUUCCUCUGAUUCAUCAACGUCCUCUUGUUGUUGUGGUAAAUAGGUAAAACACAUUCGAGAUUGCAAUUUCCAUCUCGGUGAAUAGAUUGAUAUUACUCAGAUUGUAUGCGGUGGCUCGUCAAGCCCAUCACCUCUGAAAUUGCCCACGUGGUAUAUAAGCUUACUUUAGAUAUCUCGUGAGAAUAGAAAAGAGAAGAGAGAAGAACGUUACCUUCGAUGUGUCCAGAUGUCGAUUCCCAAGAAAUCUUAUAUACUUCUCUCUCUCUCUCUCUCUCUCUCUCUGCCUCUCCCUCUCUUUAUCUCUCUUACUAUAAAAAAUUAUAUAUAUAUAUAUAUAUUUUACUAUCUCUCUCAUUUUUUCCAAUUUGCUCGAGGAGAGCCAACAAACGUAAUAUUUAGAUCAUCUUUUACAUAAAUACUCCUUCCUUUCAUACUUUCUCUUUCUUUAUUUUUCCCCGUUUCGUCUAAAAUAUUUGAAAUAUAUUCAACUCGAAGAUUAAACGAUCUGCUUCCUGCAAACUUCGAUAAACAAAAGGUGAGGCGAAUGAAUUUUCAAUCUAAUUGCGUUUCGAUGCAAAUGAGAAAGUGAAGAGAGUUAGAUGACAGGCUUGGAAAAUAGAGAGAGAGAGAGAGAGAGAGAGAGAGAGAGAGAAAGAGGGAAAAAGAGAAAGAGAGAGGCAGAAACACGUCAAUAGUUGUGACGUACUUUAUUGAUUUCGAUCAACUCGCUGUUAAUAAUGAUCGUUUGAUAUAAAUACCAUGUAUAAAAAAAAAAGUAGAGUUAAGACCUCUCUCUCUCUCUCUCUCUCUCUCUCUCUCUCUCUCUCUCUCUCUCUUUGCGUGUAUAUAUGUUGUCAUUUUCAGUUUUGUUUUGAUUAGAGAAAAUGAUUGAAAACGAUUUAGCACGUAAUACUGUUGAAAUUAUUUUCUAAGUGAUGUGGCUCGAGCAUUGAUCAGACUGAUGGAUUACUCCACUCUGCGGUCAAACAGUAGAAGCUCUUCGGAAAAUUGCGAACGUGACAAAAUGCUUUGAAGGACUUCACGGAAGAAAAAGGAACGUUUUCGCCAUUGAAGUUCUUAAUAUUGCCGUCGAAGAGGAAAAAGUUCUCUCUCUCUCUCUCUCUCUCUCUUUCUUUCUCUCCUUCUCUCUUUCUCUUUCUCUCUCUCUCUCUCUCUCUCUCUCUCUCUCUCUCUCUCUCUCUCUCUCUCUCUCUCUCUCUCUCUCACACUAUUUUAUUCUCUCUACUUUUUUUUUUUUUUUUCUAAGAUUUAUCCUUCAAGAACUAAAGUUCAUCUUCGAAUUCCUAUCAAGCAGAUCGUCUGACAUAAUAUCCGUCCGUAUUCUUCUACCAUUAAUCGUCAGCUGAAUGUGUCCGAUUUACGAAUCCUACUAGCUUUCCUUCUUAAAGUAAUCUAUCAGUGAAACCUUCCUAGAAGAAAACUUUACUUCUCUUCUUUCACGUGAAUUUCUAAGGACACGUGAGACAUUACUGUUUUUCUCCCUGAAACGAAGCUUUUUCACAAGAGAGACAAGUAUAUCUUAUUGAGAGAAAGAAAAAAAGAAAGAGAGAGAGAGAGAGA